rnacentral:misc_RNA from 1 species
GAUGAAGAACGUAGCGAAAUGCGAUAAGUAAUGUGAAUUGCAGAAUUCAGUGAAUCAUCGAAUCUUUGAACGCUCCUUGCGCCCUUUGGCCAUUCCGAAGGGCAUGCCUGUUUGAGUAUCAUGAACACCUCAACUCUCAUGGCUCGCCAUGAUGAGCUUGGACUUUGGGGGUCUUGCUGGCCUGUGGUCGGCUCCUCUCAAAUGGAUCAGCUUGCCAGUGUUUGGUGGCAUCACAGGUGUGAUAACUAUCUGCGCUUGUGGUUUUCCAUCAGAUAACCUUCAGUGAUGGAGGUUCGCUGGAGCUCAUAAACGUCUCCCCUAAGCGGGGACAGCCCUUUGAAUGUUUGAUCUCAAAUCAGGUAGGACUACCCGCUGAACUUAAGCAUAUCAAUAAGCGGAGGA